rnacentral:rRNA from 1 species
GACGAACGCUGGCGGCGUGCUUAACACAUGCAAGUCGAACGAAGUGGCGAACGGGUGAGUAAUACGUGAGUAACCUGCCCUCCUUUUUGGGAUAAGCCUUGGAAACGGGGUCUAAUACCGAAUAAAGGGGGAUGGGCUCGCGGCCUAUCAGCUUGUUGGAGGGGUGAUGGCCUACCAAGGCGGUGACGGGUAGCAGGCCUGAGGGGGUGACCGGGCACAUGAGGACUGGGAUACGGCCCAGAGGCCGACGGGAGGCAGCAAUGGGGGAUAAUGCACAAUAGGCGAAAGCCUGAUGCAGGGGCGCCGCAAGAAGGUUGAAGGCUUUCGGGUUGUAAACCUCUGUGGCUAACGAACGGGUAGGUGGAGAAGAAGCACCGGCUAACUACGUGCCAGCAGCCGCGGUAAUUC